CCUACGGGUGGCAGCAGUGAGGAAUAUUGGUCAAUGGACGAGAGUCUGAACCAGCCAAGUAGCGUGAAGGAUGACUGCCCUAUGGGUUGUAAACUUCUUUUAUAAAGGAAUAAAACGAGGCACGCGUGCCUUUUUGCAUGUACUUUAUGAAUAAGGAUCGGCUAACUCCGUGCCAGCAGCCGCGGUAAUACGGAGGAUUCGAGCGUUAUCCGGAUUUAUUGGGUUUAAAGGGUGCGUAGGUGGGUAGUUAAGUCAGUUGUGAAAGUUUGCGGCUCAACCGUAGAAUUGCCAUUGAUACUGGUAGUCUAGAGUGCAGUUGAGGUAGGCGGAAUGCGUGGUGUAGCGGUGAAAUGCUUAGAUAUCACGAAGAACCCCGAUUGCGAAGGCAGCUUACCAAACUGUGACUGACAUUGAUGCACGAAAGUGUGGGUAUCAAACAGGAUUAGAUACCCGAGUAGUC
rnacentral:rRNA from 1 species